rnacentral:lncRNA from 1 species
CUUCCGAGGCGUAUCGAAGAAGAAGUUUAAGGUCAUCGUAUCUUUGAGGAGCAUUGCCGGAAGAUCCGUACGUAGGGACAAAUACUUUUUUAGGAUAGUGUCUACGCGCUUCAACCUGCCUUCAAUCAAGCUAUUUUCUCUAACUUUUGUUUUAAAUUUAAUAUUAGUAGAUCAGUAGGAUUUGCAAUUUUAUGAUUUGAAUUUAUUAAAUGAAUAGAUUAUUUUAUGCUAUAAUAGAUUUCUUUUGUGAUAAAAUAGAUUUAUUUUGAUCUCGGAUAAAAUAUAUAUUAUUCCGUUUAAGAUUUUCUAUUAAUUGCAAUUAUUAGAUUUAUUUGUUUAUUUAGGUGAUAUAUUGCUAACAAUCCAAAAAAGUGAUUGUUUAUUUUUUUUGUUAGUAAUAUAUAAUUCAGUAAAUCAUUCUAAAAAGAUAAUAAUUUAGUUUAACCUCUAACAUACCUCCAUUUGGACUCCUCAAGGAGUAAUUUUCAGAUCCCAUUCAAACA